rnacentral:rRNA from 1 species
ACGCUCGACACCUACGGGGGCAGCAGUGGGGAAUAUUGCACAAUGGGGGAAACCCUGAUGCAGCGACGCCGCGUGAGCGAAGAAGUAUUUCGGUAUGUAAAGCUCUAUCAGCAGGGAAGAAAGUGACGGUACCUGACUAAGAAGCACCGGCUAAAUACGUGUCAGCAGCCGCGGUAAUCUGAGCGGGCUGGCAAGGC